rnacentral:lncRNA from 1 species
CGUGAAUGGACUAUUCUCUCUGGAGAGAGGGCAGAGUCAACAGGGCUCUUAGACUACACUCGGUCUGAGUUGCCUGAAGGAGAGGUGGGGGUACUGCAAGGCCCCUCUGGCCUUUCACUUCUCUGGUGGACAGCUUGAGCCAGAGAGCCCGUGAUAAGAUAAAAUUUAAAAAGAAACAGCGGAUGUCAGAUUCUGAGGCGAAACAUUAUUUUUAGAGACUGUAAUAGAGCAGCUAUCACUUACGAGAAAACAAUCCUCAAUGUUGACAUUUGAGUUCUUGACCUAAAAUUCUGAAUUGAAAAAGUCUAAUAAAAAUCCUGCAACCAGGUCCACCGCAUGAAGAAAGGAAGAAUAAAACAGAACCUGCUCAUGAAGAGGAAAAGUCCCCGUGCUUUUCAGGAGUUCAUCUUAAUUGACAGCAUCUUCACCAGUACCAAGAAAUAUCUCUUAAGUUCUGGCCCGGUUUUAACAUAAAAGGAGUUUGUCUCAGGGAUAUAUCCCUGAGAUGCCAAUGCUCUCUGAAAGCAACCAAGACCCACUGGAAAAAAAACAAUCCUUUAUUAUUUUCUCUGAAUGGAUAUUAAGUCUGGCAUGACAGACUGCCAGGAGGAGCUGAGCCAUAAAAUAGCCCACUUGUUGCCCAUGUUCCUUAACAACCAUGAUGUGCCCUGCCACCAUAUGUCCCAAGCAAAACAGCCAAAGUUCUAAUGAUUCACCUAUUGUCUAAGAAGGUACACCCUUCAGCCCACUCAGGAUAUAUCUUAGUACUAAUUGUUAUAGUGGGGUGGACUUGAAGCUAACUGGCAAACUGGUGAGGAAACACCUCUCCAAACGCCCAGAAAAGGGUUAGCAAAAAACAAGGAACCAUUUGGGUAACUAUCACUGGACCUACUUUCUGAUACUUGGCCUGCAACCACUGCCCCAUUUGCUCCUCAUUAACAGGCAAUGAAGUUGAGGACCAUGUAUCAUCAGGUUGAUCAUGAAAUUUGGUCAACAUGCUUGCUAACAAUUACUAAGGACUUCCUAUGAAUCCUGUUAAUGAGCCCCAAAGCCCUCCUCCUCUUCCAGAAAGCUAUGUGUCUGUCAGCAUCCCAUCCUCAUGAUCAAAAACCAUCAAGAACCAUGAAGGGUCUGAGAUUUUGCUCUAUUGCAAGCGCCUGACAUAUUCAUUGAAACUGGUAAAAGACAUACUCCUAGGUCACAUACAAAGAACUUUAUUACUUAUUGUACAGUAAGCAGGGCAUGACAAUCUGCAA